rnacentral:rRNA from 1 species
CCUACGGGGAGCAGCAGUAGGGAAUCUUCCACAAUGGGCGAAAGCCUGAUGGAGCAACGCCGCGUGGGUGAAGAAGGUCUUCGGAUCGUAAAACCCUGUUGUUAGAGAAGAAAGUGCGUGAGAGUAACUGUUCACGUUUCGACGGUAUCUAACCAGAAAGCCACGGCUAACUACGUGCCAGCAGCCGCGGUAAUACGUAGGUGGCAAGCGUUAUCCGGAUUUAUUGGGCGUAAAGGGAACGCAGGCGGUCUUUUAAGUCUGAUGUGAAAGCCUUCGGCUUAACCGGAGUAGUGCAUUGGAAACUGGGAGACUGGAGUGCAGAAGAGGAGAGUGGAACUCCAUGUGUAGCGGUGAAAUGCGUAGAUAGAUGGAAGAACACCAGUGGCGAAAGCGGCUCUCUGGUCUGUAACUGACGCUGAGGUUCGAAAGCGUGGGUAGCAAACAGGAUUAGAUACCCCUGUAGUC